CAUUCACUCCAUUGGACUGGAGUAUUCCAUAAUAAAAUGGUGGGUGCACGGUGUGAAGGACUGGACGCAUUGUAACAAUUGCUACACUGAAUAGAAGAAACACCCAGUUCAUUAUAACGUCGUGUGGUCAUUUAUUCUGUGGGAAAUGCUAUGGUGAGAGAGAUAAGCUCUGUCUCGUAUGUAAGGCAGUGUGUAAUUCAGUUCUUGAUCUGUCAAAAGAAGCUCCACCAUAUGUCACGAUAUAUUUCAAGACUCCUUAGUCCAUUAUACAGGAAUUCGUCCUAAAUUUUGAAUGAGUGGCUAGGUUUCAAAAGGAGCAUAGGACUAGAUUAGUAAAGCACAAACUACAGAAA